UCACAAAAAGGUUCCGGUUUCAACCUUUAAACAGGGGUUCCUCAAAGACCAGUGGUGUAAAGUACUUAAGUACUUUUUGAACUGGAAAAGUUCCCUGUGUGGCAAUUUUUUGAAUCUCAGAAGGUUCUUCCAGGCUCCUUUUCUCAUAAGAGUGUAGAGGUAUGGGUUAGUGUCAGGGGUAUCUUACUGAAGUGGUGUGUUGGGGUAAGGAGGAGGGUUGGAGGCGGUAGGGCAGGGCCGUCACUCUGAAGGACACGGUAGAGUUGAGGAGGUAUGGGUCGUUACGUCUCUGCAAGG